GUUUUGAAUGGCCGGUCGGUUCGAGGAAUGAUCGGUUCACGAGCUAGCAUCACGAACCGAGUCACGUUACUCGAGUCGUCCUGGAUACCUUCCGCUAAGAUCUGGAGACCGUAGAGGUCCGCGGCGCGUGCGGAUGCAAUCGCGGCUGUAUCGCGGAGGUUGUUUGCAGCUAUGUAUUCGGCGGCUCCGGCGGUAUCAUCGACGGCUUCGCGAGCUACGUUUAGGCCGAGCUUUGUGAGAGUGAGUUCGCACUGAGCUAGGGCUUGUGGAUGGCUUAUGACUCGAGUUAGGUACUCUUUUCUAACGCCUGGAAGUGCUAAUAGGCAGUGGUGGACCGGAAGUUGAACUUCUCCGACGAUGUGGAGACGGUGACGGAGGAGGAGAUCGUAGUUCCGGUGAAUGGAACCUCCGAGAGAGUUCUCGACGGGGAGAACUGCACGGUCAGCGAUCCAGAGUUCAACGGCUUGAAAUGCAACCUCAAAUUGAUCACAAGGUAUCGCUUCACAUUUCGGAUAAGCCUUGCCGGCGGCAGCUUCACUGUACGCGCCAGGAACGCCUUGGUAGGCGACGCGGAGCUGAGCGCCGUGCAUCGGCGCAGGGGAGAGGUCAGUGAUUGUGAGCGGCUUAGGCUGAUUG
rnacentral:lncRNA from 1 species